CCUACGGGAGGCAGCAGUGGGGGAUAUUGCACAAUGGGGGAAACCCUGAUGCAGCGACGCCGCGUGGGUGAAGAAGCGCCUCGGCGCGUAAAGCCCUGUCAGCAGGGAAGAAAAUGACGGUACCUGAAGAAGAAGCCCCGGCUAACUACGUGCCAGCAGCCGCGGUAAUACGUCGGGGGCAAGCGUUAUCCGGAUUUACUGGGUGUAAAGGGGGCGCAGACGGGGAUGCAGGCCAGGAGUGAAAGCCCGGGGCCCAACCCCGGGACUGCUCUUGGAACUGCGUGGCUAGAGUGCAGGAGGGGCAGGCGGAAUGCGUGGUGUAGCGGUGAAAUGCGUAGAUAUCAGGAGGAACACCGGUGGCGAAGGCGGCCUGCUGGACUGCAACUGACGUUGAGGCCCGAAAGCGUGGGGAGCAAACAGGAUUAGAUACCCCUGUAGUC
rnacentral:rRNA from 1 species